UACGGAGGGUGCAAGCGUUGUCCGGAAUCACUGGGCGUAAAGGGCGCGUAGGCGGCUCGGUAAGUAGGGGGUGAAAUCCUGCGGCUUAACCGCAGGGCUGCCUUCUAAACUGUCGAGCUUGAGCACGGUAGAGGCAGAUGGAAUUCCCGGUGUAGCGGUGAAAUGCGUAGAGAUCGGGAGGAAGGCCGGUGGCGAAGGCGGCGCUCUGGAACAUUUCUGACGCUGAGGCUCGAAAGCGUGGGGAGCAAACAGG
rnacentral:rRNA from 1 species